UACGUAGGAGACUAGCGUUGUCCGGAAUUACUGGGUGUAAAGCGCGUGUAGGCGGCAUACCAAGUCUGUUGUGAAAUCGCCCGGCUCAACUGGGCGGGGUCAAUGGAAACUGGUAAGCUGGAGGACGGUAGAGGCGAGUGGAAUUCCCGGUGUAGUGGUGAAAUGCGUAGAUAUCUGGAGGAACACCGGUGGCGAAGGCGACAUCCUGGACCGGUAUUGACGCUGAGGCGCGAAAGCCAGGGGAGCAAAGCGGG
rnacentral:rRNA from 1 species